CACACACACACACACACACACACACACACACACACACACACACACACACACACACACACACACACACACACACACACACACACACACACACACACACACACACACACACACACACACACACACACAGGUGUUAAGUAGGUCAUGGUAAACCCUUCACUGGAAUGCUUCAGUUGCGUAGUUCAGAGGUUGGAGCCAUUGACCUCCAAUUAUUGGUUGGCCACUCAAAGCCAACCCCACAUUCACACUGAGAAAUAACUGGACACAUUGUGAUUUCUCCAUCUAUGUAUCUAGCAAUCUUUGUAUCUAUCUAUCCCCUUGUGUCCCUGUUUCUCCCGCACUCGUGACGUCUGAGAAGAGAAAUACGCAGGUCUCUAUGGCACCGAACUUUUCUGGCCGUCCAACUUUCCCUUAUUGUCUCCGUCGCCACGGCAACCGCGAGUUGUUGAAUCAGUGGCACAUAUUUAUUGCAAACAUCCUGAGCCAUUGCUGUGGGAGUGAGUGAGGGUGGUGGUUUCCCUCAAGACUCCCUUCGGACGAGAGGGAGACAAGCAUUUCUUGUGGUUACGUGUGUGUGUGUGGGGGGGGUGGGUGUGUGUAUGUGUGUGUAUGUGUUUUGUUUAGUGUUUUUGUCCGAUGGGGCGGGUGCCUGUGUGGGAGGGGAGAUGUGUGGGGCCGGGGGCUGGUUGUUGGUCGGGUCUUGUCUGGUCCCGUUGAGCUGUGGGAAAACCCCACAUACUCUCUUCCUUCAACUCCUCCUCAUAACACACAGACUGACGAGGAGAGAGUCAUACAGAAAGAGGUGAGGGAGAGAAGGAAUGAAAAGGGAGACAUAUUGUAUCUCUUUGUUGUCCCUCUUUCUCUUUUUCUCUCUCUCUCUGUCUUUCUAUUUCUGCAAUAUAUAUAUAUAGGCCUCUUUGCUAGGCUAACCCUCCAUUAAGUCGAAGGGCCAGGCUAGUCUGUUUGUAGGUAUCAGGACCUGGCUAGUCUGCCUUUAGGUUUCAGGGCCUUGCUAGUCUGUUUGUAGGUAUCAGGACCUGGCUAGUCUGCCUGUAGGUAUCAGGACCUGGCUAGUCUGCCUGUAGGUAUCAGGACCUGGCUAGUCUGCCUGUAGGUAUCAGGACCUGGCUAGUCUGCCUUUAGGUUUCAGGACCUGGCUAGUCUGCCUGUAGGUAUCAGGACCUGGCUAGUCUGCCUGUAGGUUUCAAGGCCUGGCUAGGCCCUCUCUUUUAAAGAGAGGGCUUUCUUUCCCUUCUUCUGCUUCCAGGAUCGGGGAAAAGAUCUAGUCUUCAUUAGGAAAACAUGUUAUUACUUAUAUCUGCGGGGACCCACUUGAAAUAGAACUCAAGUGUAUGUGUGCUUUUGGACUGGAUGGUCUCAUGCUGUACAAAUAUGAAGAUCAAGUUGACUUGUGUUUAAAAAAAAUAAAAGGAGAGGUUGAAAAGGUCAGCCAAUUGGUUUUAUUGAAUAGAGAAGAAGUGAACACGGUGUUCGCACUGCCUCGAGGCAAUCCAGCGACAAGAUUUGUGAGUUUGUUUUACACCUUUGACAUAAGACCAUGGAAGAACAUUGAGUACUCCUGCUGCUCCACCGGCCCUAUCUUGCUAUGGGCAAUAUUUUAUGUCAUGCGUUUUGCUGAUACCUCCCUAUGUCAUCAGAAUCAGUCAAACAACGUUUUUACAUGCGCUUAUUUCUUUCCUCAGCCCAGAAUCCUGUCCUCAAUGUAUUGUGUAGUGCAUGUGCACAGGAUUUUGCAUGCGUGUACCACUACUAUGACUUCAGGGACGAUAUUUAAAAUAUUCAAGUAACCGUGUCGAACUAUAAUCUACAUCACUCCAUUGCUGUAAUAUGUACUUUGGGCCUAUUUUGAGCCAGCAUGAAACCGGAGAAGUAGUUUUUAUGUGGCUGUGAUGGGGCUUUGGUUGAGUUCACGUUUGGUAAAAGUUUAGACUAACCUCUCUCUCUCUCUCUCUCUCUCUGUCUCUGUCUCUGUCUCUGUGUGUGUGUGUGUGUGUGUGUGUGUGUGUGUGUGUGUGUGUGUGUGUGUGUGUGUGUGUGUGUGUGUGUGUGUGUGUGUGUGUGUGUGUGUGUGUGUGUGUGUGUGGAGCCGUCCGUAUGAAUGGCUUCUUUGUGAGGUCAGCUUGUAGUGACUUAGGGGAAACUCGGAUGGCAGGCGUGGGUUAACAGGGCCAGAAACUUUACCACAUGUAUCUGAGAAUAGGCUCCAUAAAUAAAUGCAUACAAUGUUUAGCUACUUUAUGUGUUUUCUUUGUCUUUGAUUAGAUUUGAUUUAAUGUCUGUGGUAGCAAAUAAAUGAAAGUGCAUUACGUCAUAGCUGCCAGGAGGUUUUAAACUCGCAUGAUGUGCAGUGACUAAUCAUGGUGUUUUACUGCUUUUUGACAUGAGCAAUCAACUUGAAAUCCUUUUUUUUAAAUACACUGUCUAUACUCUAUGCAAGUGCAUGUUCUUCUCUUGUAAACCUUGUUCAGAACCAGCUUUGUGAUGUUGAGGGCUGCCUUUUUUCUCAAUAUUGGGUGUUUAAAUUAGCUUAACACUUUGAUACAUGGAUAUUGUAGUACAAUUUUCCAUCUCUCUAACUACUGGAAAGAGAACAGGCGAUGACAGAAAGAAUAUAAAGGAAGAA